GUGGGGAAUAUUGGACAAUGGACGAAAGCCUGAUCCAGCCAUGCCGCGUGUGUGAAGAAGGUCUUCGGAUUGUAAAGCACUUUAAGUUGGGAGGAAGGGCAGUAAGUUAAUACCUUGCUGUUUUGACGUUACCGACAGAAUAAGCACCGGCUAACUUCGUGCCAGCAGCCGCGGUAAUACGAAGGGUGCAAGCGUUAAUCGGAAUUACUGGGCGUAAAGCGCGCGUAGGUGGUUUUGUAAGUUGGAGGUGAAAUCCCCGGGCUCAACCUGGGAACUGCCUCCAAAACUGCAUGACUAGAGUACGGUAGAGGGUAGUGGAAUUUCCUGUGUAGCGGUGAAAUGCGUAGAUAUAGGAAGGAACACCAGUGGCGAAGGCGACUACCUGGACUGAUACUGACACUGAGGUGCGAAAGCGUGGGGAGCAAACAGGAUUAGAUACCCUUGUAGUCC
rnacentral:rRNA from 1 species